GCAGCAUGCUGAAGCUUCCUCUGUCGGUGUUUAUUUUGCCUACAAACCAUUUGGGUGCAAGAGAAAGUCUGUCUUUACCUUGUCGGCAUGCGGGAAAUAGAUUUUUGGAGGGGGUGGAAUUGAAAUGAUUGCUUUUUUCCCUCUUUCUAAUGUAAUAAAUGAAUGCAAAUUCUAAAUUUAAUCAGCCCAUAAAGCACAUAGCUAACAAAGCCCCCCACAGCUCUAACACAGAUCUGAAUUAUAUCCGAUUACAUCUAUACAGGCUCUGCAAUGCAUUAAACUCCAACUAGGCCUGUGACAUUUUCUUUGCAUUGUUCCCGAGGGCGAGAUCGAGUCUGUCCAUGCAUCCCAGCAUGCCCCAGGGCCCUGGCUGAGCGAGGGAGAAAGCGCGUUAACACGCAGCAAUUUGUCAGGACAGCAGUCCUCUCUGAAUUGCAGUUCAUUGACAGCGAUGCAGCUUUGGGUCUGUGGCGGGGCUGGCUAGAUUCCCAUGGCACAGAGAGCAGCUGCCUGAGUUUCAGGGCUCUGGAUAAAACUGUUUCUCUUCCAUGCCGAGAGAACGUAAUGACAGUAGGGCCCUUUGGGCCUGCCAGCCAUCUGCAGGUCCAGGUCCUGGUUAAGCAUGACCAGGUGCAGAGAAAAGUCUUCUUGCUACCUCUCAGCUGAUUAGUGGAGCCGGUUGAUUGGUGCAAAUGAGGAAGCUUUUAUCCUGCUUGAGUAUAAUCUGCUUGCAUCUUUAUUGGCUAAAAGCAGGCGUGAUGCUGGCAUGACCCAGGCUGCCCCAGGUACUGUGCUCAGAAAGGGUACUGACACUAAUGUCUUCUGACACACACAUCCCCCAUGCCCUUCCUGUUAAAGGUGCACACACAGAUACGCUGCAGAAAAAAAUCUCCAAAGCUUAUGCAUGCACUUUUUUAAUUACACUACUUUUGUGAAAAAUAUUUUUUAUAAUAUACACCAUAUUAAAAUGCACAUUCUCAGUGAAGGCGAGCGGGAACGUUCAGCACUUUAUAGCUGAAGCCUUUGGCGUAAUGGCUGCUUGUUUCCUUCUCAUCUUCUUUUGUCCUUAAAGGACGCUGCCUUGCCUAGCUGCACAGAUCCUUGGAGCAUCUUUCCUAUUUGUCUGUCCCUCUCUGUGCUGCAACACAGCCUGUUAUUUCAAGGAAAGUGCAACCUUUGCCUUGGGCUUUAAUUAUGUUCAAUUUGCCAAGCCGAGCCUGAAAAAUUCAGAGGGUAAAAAAGCUCUAUGACCUAUUUAUUAAUGCUGCGUUGGGUCUAAAGCUACACUGAGAUCAGCACUGCAUCACUCAACAAUAACACCCAUCUCUGGAGAACAGACUUCAAUCACGUUGUACUCCUCUCUUACAAUGGGAAUUCAUUACUUUAUAAUAGAUCACUGACCAGUUAAUCAUUAUUAAAAGAAAUGUAAAAGUUUGUAGUUAAGUGUGAUUUGUAAUUGGUGUACAUUGUUGGAAUUGUACAUGAAAUUGGCAAAAUGGAAAUUAUAUAUAUAUAUAUAUAUAUAUAUAUAUAUAUAUAUAUAUAU
ensembl:lncRNA